CCUACGGGAGGCAGCAGUGAGGAAUAUUGGUCAAUGGCCGGAAGGCUGAACCAGCCAAGUCGCGUGAGGGAAGACGGCCCUACGGGUUGUAAACCUCUUUUGUCAGGGAGCAAGGUGCAGGUCGGGACCUGCUGUGAGAGUACCUCAAGAAAAAGCAUCGCCUCACUCCGUGCCGGCAGCCGCGGUAAUACGGCGGAUCCGAGCGUUAUCCGGAUUUAUUGGGUUUAAAGGGAUAGUAGAUGGGUUGUUAAGUCCGUUGUGAAAUGGUGCGGCUCAACCGUAAAAGUGCAAUUGAUACUGGCAGUCUUGAGGACAGUUGAGGUAGGCGGAAGUAGUGGUGUAGCGGUGAAAUGCGUAGAUAUCACGAAGAACCCCGAUUGCGAAGGCAGCUUACUAAAAUGUGACUGACAGUGAUGCUCGAAAGUGUGGGUAUCAAACAGGAUUAGAUACCCUGGUAGUC
rnacentral:rRNA from 1 species